UCAGGAUGAACGCUAGCGACAGGCCUAACACAUGCAAGUCAGGGGCAGCACAAGGAGCAAUCUGAGGUGGCGACCGGCGCACGGGUGAGUAACACGUAUGCAACCUGCCUGUAAGCGGGGAAUAACCCGUUGAAAGACGGACUAAUACCGCAUAAUACUAAAUUACUGCAUGGUAAUUUAUUUAAACAUUUAUGGCUUACAGAUGGGCAUGCGCAUGAUUAGCUAGUUGGAGAGGUAACGGCUCCCCAAGGCAACGAUCAUUAGGGGUUCUGAGAGGAAGGUCCCCCACACUGGUACUGAGACACGGACCAGACUCCUACGGGAGGCAGCAGUGAGGAAUAUUGGUCAAUGGACGAGAGUCUGAACCAGCCAAGUCGCGUGCAGGAAGAAUGUUCCCUAUGGAUUGUAAACUGCUUUUGCAGGGGAAUAAAGUGCAUCACGUGUGAUGUUUUGUAUGUACUCUGCGAAUAAGGAUCGGCUAACUCCGUGCCAGCCGCUGC
rnacentral:rRNA from 1 species